rnacentral:lncRNA from 1 species
CCUCCGGACUUUUACAAGAACUGGACUUCGUCUGAACUUCUACAGUGGAUGGAUUCCAGAUGAACUUCUACAACGGACGGGUUCCAGCAAUCGAAUUUCUACAACGGCCGACCGCCUCCAAUGUCCUCCAUACCUCUCCAGCCAUCAAUCUUCAAUAGCGUCAGCCGAACUUCAACAGCGUCAGUCGGACUUCAGCAGCGUCAAUCGGACUUCAACAAUGCCAACCGGACUUCCACAGGAUUCUCUAGAGGAUGA